GUCUGGUGUCAGCCGCCGCGGUAAUACCAGCACCCCGAGUGGUCGGGACGAUUAUUGGGCCUAAAGCAUCCGUAGCCUGUUCUGCAAGUCCUCCGUUAAAUCCACCUGCUCAACAGAUGGGCUGCGGAGGAUACUACAGGGCUAGGAGGCGGGAGAGGCAAACGGUACUCAGUGGGUAGGGGUAAAAUCCUCUGAUCCACUGAAGACCACCAGUGGCGAAGGCGGCUUGCCAGAACGCGCUCGACGGUGAGGGAUGAAAGCUGGGGGAGCAAACCGGAUUAGAUACCCGGGUAGUCCCAGCUGUAAACGAUGCAGACUCGGUGAUGGGUUGGCUUCGAGCCAACCCAGUGCCGCAGGGAAGCCGUUAAGUCUGCCGCCUGGGGAGUACGGUCGCAAGACUGAAAC
rnacentral:rRNA from 1 species